AGUUUAUCAUACACGUUUCGUUUUGUAUUUUAUUUCAAAUACGAAUACAUACUACAUAUACUUUAGCGGAUUGUUCAACAAUGUUAUGCAACUCUAUUGUUACAGUAUAAAUUUUAAAAAAAUAAUAUUCACCCAUUCAUAAUCGAAAACAGUACAUUUAUAUGUAAUAAAGAAGAUGUGGUAUGAUUGCCAAUGCCACAACUCUCCACAAGAGACCACAAUGACACAUAAAUUAACAACUAAAGGUCACCGUACGGCUUUCAAUAAUGAGCAAAGCCCAUACCGCAUAGUCAGCUAUAAAAGGCCCCGAAAUGACAAUGUAAAAACAAUUCAAAUGGGAGUUGUUCCUUAUAAACUACGACAUUUCUCACAAGUAUUAAUAUUUAUUUAGUUCCAAACAUGCGAAAGAAAUAAUCUUCACUGAAUUCAUUCAGGUGCACAAAUGAUACGAUUAGUUAUUUUGUUUCUAUCUUUGGGGAACAACUUCCUCCUUUUAUGGUAGCUACUGUGUGUAUGUUUUAGCAUGAAAAUAAUAAAGGAGGAAUGUCAGUGCAACCCAUCAUUAAUUAUUGUAAAGCAGGAUCAGUAUUAUGAAAUACUUUAUAAGUGACUACGACAUUGUAAGGAUUAUAACCUAUCGUAGGUAUGAAAGAAAUUAAAAGUGGUUCAUUUAUUCAUCCGUAUAAAAGCGGCACAUGUAUUUUAUUUUAUCCUUAUAUUUCUCAUCAUGCCGGGUACAAGAUAAUUGAGUUGCUGC
rnacentral:lncRNA from 1 species